CCACCCACCCAAGCUUCAUCUGCAUAAACCCCACCCACCCAAGCUUCACCUGCAUAAACCCCACCUACACAGAGUCUGUGAACAUGUGAGACAGGAGAAGAGUUACAUUGGUGGAAGUUGAGACAGGAGGAGGGUGAGACUGGUGGAGGUGAGACAGGAGGAGGGUGAGACUGGUAGAGGUGAGACAGGAGGAGGGUGAGACUGGUGGAGGUGAGACAGGAAGAGGGUGAGACUGUGGUUUUCUGGCCUCUGCUCCGUAUCUCAGUAAUGCUGCCAGAAACAACAUGGACUCAACACUCAUCCAACUCUGAUCACUUUUCCACGUUUUUUCCAUGAAGCUUCCUGUUUCGAUUCUUCUUUCUCUAGUGGUGAUAUGAGUGUAAACACACAUGCAACAAAUUUAGACUGCCAUGAUGUUUUAUCUUCUUAUCAUAACACACACACACACACACACACACACACACACAGACAGUCAGAGGUGUUUAACCACAUUAAUCUAAAGGAGAUGUUAAAGGAACAUGUUUCCAAACCCAGAGCUGAACAUCUGCAGUUAUCUUCACUUGCUCUGUCCAGCGAGGAUCUGCGCAGUUUUCACUUUGUUAUCUCUAAACAUAGGAGCCUUUAACCUGCUAACAUGCUC
ensembl:lncRNA